rnacentral:rRNA from 1 species
AGUGAACGCUGGCGGUAGGCCUAACACAUGCAAGUCGAACGGCAGCACAGUAAGAGCUUGCUCUUACGGGUGGCGAGUGGCGGACGGGUGAGGAAUACAUCGGAAUCUACUUUUUCGUGGGGGAUAACGUAGGGAAACUUACGCCAAUACCGCAUACGACCUACGGGUGAAAGCAGGGGAUCUUCGGACCUUGCGCGAUUGAAUGAGCCGAUGUCGGAUUAGCUAGUUGGCGGGGUAAAGGCCCACCAAGGCGACGAUCCGUAGCUGGUCUGAGAGGAUGAUCAGCCACACUGGAACUGAGACACGGUCCAGACUCCUACGGGAGGCAGCAGUGGGGAAUAUUGGACAAUGGGCGCAAGCCUGAUCCAGCCAUACCGCGUGGGUGAAGAAGGCCUUCGGGUUGUAAAGCCCUUUUGUUUGGAAAGAAAAGCAGCAGGUUAAUACCCCGCUGUUCUGACGGUACCCAAAGAAUAAGCACCGGCUAACUUCGUG